AUCGCUUCUCGGCCUUUUGGCUAAGAUCAAGUGUAUAAACUGCUAUAGAACACCACUCUUCCAUUUUUCCUUUUAGUCAUUCAUUCAAUAAACAUUCAUUAAACCUUUAUAAUAUGCAAAGUAGCAUGGUAAGCAAUGAGAAUUCAAAGAUGGAAAAGAACCACCUAUUUUUUCAAUCUAUGUUUCUCA
rfam:Mustela putorius furo unplaced genomic scaffold scaffold00174, whole genome shotgun sequence.